rnacentral:rRNA from 2 species
GACGGAAGGUGCAAGCGUUGCUCGGAAUCACUGGGCGUAAAGGGUGCGUAGGCGGCUUGGUGGGUCUGGUGUGAAAGCCCCGGGCUCAGCCCGGGAAGGGCACUAGAAACUGCCGAGCUGGAGUGCCGGAGGGGAGAGUGGAAUUCCUGGUGUAGCGGUGAAAUGCGUAGAUAUUGGGAGGAACACCGGUGGCGAAGGCGGCCCCCUGGACCGGUACUGACGCUGAGGCGCGAAAGCGUGGGUAGCAAACGGG